rnacentral:lncRNA from 1 species
UUUUUUUUUUUUUUUUUGGUAAUUUCGUGUUGUUUAUGCAAAAUAAGAAACAACAAUGUAGGUUAUAAGAUGGAUACCACCAAAACUACCAUCAACCACAGAAGUUGAAGUGGUCUGCUAACUGGAUUAGCAAAACUGGAAUCACGAGCCACCGGUCCUGGUGUAGAGGCAACAACAGGCUUCUGUAGCUCACAUUUGCCAAACGUCAUGUUUGCCUGCACAAAACAAUCAAAUCAAUUAUAUGCCAAUCAUGGCCUUCUGCAAUAAAACCUUCAUUUAUGCGCAUAUAAAUCAAGCUGAGAUUAAGGUAUUGCAAACCUGGCAAUAGGCAAUGUUUCCACACCCACACACUAGUUGCCCAUUUGCCAAAUCUACAGCUUCUGGGGCUCCUCCUCCAUCACUUCUCUGUAACAUCAGAUGCAAAUGAUUUAUUUCCAUAUUCUACCCUGCAUUGGGUAGUAAAUGAUUUUCACGAAUAUCAUCUCAGUACCUUGUAAAAAUCUACUGCAAUGAAGUUUGGCCAUCUUUUACCUGCUGCUUCAUGGCAAGUGUUCAACAUACUAAUUAAUGGAGCUGAAUUAUGCUUACAAGCUUGGGUCACAUCUGGUCCGUCUGGGAAAUAGUUCAUUAAGACUAGUGACUUUGUCUUUGUGUUGUUCAUGGGAGAUGACUCGCCGCGAUUUGGACAUGAUCCAGCUUUCAUUCCACCAUUGCCAUCUGGUUUUAAGAUAUCAUUUUUCAUUCUUUUUAUUUUUUUCCAGUUCCAUGAAAUUUAAGAGGCAAAGAAAAAUAAGACUCACAUUGGUUUUCUACUAGGUAUCUCCACUCAUAAGCAAUCCCUUCAGAAGCCUGCUUAGCUGCUUUUGAGGUAAAAACCACCAACCGCUGAUUUUUUUCGACCAUGUCCUCUACUGUUGGCCAAUCUCCACCAUUUCUUGGCAUUCGAGAUACUGGAAACCAGAACUUCCUCAGGCCAGCGGCAUUAAACACAUUGGUCAGGCCCUUGGGUGAUGUGACAUAGUCUUCUAUGAUAAUGGUGACAAUCUCUGAUGGGUUUGCUUCAAGAAACACUUGAACUUCUUUCAGAACAUUAAUGGCAGGUUGCUGAUGAAUUAGAUUGCAGAUCAGUUAGUUAUUUGAAGAAUAUAGUUGAUCAAAUAGAAUUACAGUUAAAGGGCAUGUAAAGUACGGGGGCAGCAAAAAUACACUUUGAUUUCUCUCUGAACACAAUUGAUUCUGUAAGAUGUAGCCAUAUCAAAAUAAUUAUUUGGAAAAUAGAAUCGAACAAACUCUUUCACACUUACAAAAGCGGUGUAGUUGUAGCACUGACCACCAUAGGAGUGACAUAACCAGAUGUCAUUGUCAAAGUCAUACAUAUCGAGCAUCAACCCUCUGACACCAUUCUGCAAGGGAAAAAACCAGUCUUAAACAGAAGCUUAUUGAAAAGAAAUGCAUCUUAGACUAAUGAAUAAGACUGAAAAACCAACUUCUUGAUGAACUAAGGAACUCAUCCAUUUACAAUUGCAAGAUGGACUAAUUCUGGAAUGAAAAGGGAGAACAUGUAACAAGUUGAUAGUUAGGUCAUGAUCCUGUAUGGUCCACCCACAGACCUUGAACUUCCUGCCAACAAAGUCAUAUUACUUCGAAAAAGUUCAAAAACCAUACAUACAGGCUACAGCUGGGAUUAAUGGUAGGUCCAUACAUCAAAUUUCAGCAUUUGUAGGUAAUACCCAUUAGACUUUUUCUUAAUAUUACCAAUUGAAAACAGAUUAUUGACAUUUUGGCAGGCCUUCCAGCGAGGAAAAGUCAAGGAAUACAGCUCAUUAUGUUAGUCCUUCUAAAGCUCACCAGACGCAUCAAAUUUACAGGGAAUAGGGCCUUUGCAGGCCCUGGUUGGGACAAAGGAUUACUUCAUGCUAAGUCAAGUCAUAAAUGAUAUUGCUUCUCUGGAUUAGGUUAAAUUCUAUUAACAGGGUGACCCAACUGGCUCCCGCCCAGCACCACCACUUUAGAUGCUUAUAUUACAAACAAAGCAUGUCAAGUUUACUUUGGAAGUCAAGUUCAAUGAUUUCUCUCAAAGAAACAAUGAGGAAGAAAACACUGCACUUUAAAUAUUUAUUUCUUCACAUAGAAAGAAGAUUCUUACUUUUCAGAAGACCCUACGGAGCCUUCCUUCAGCCUUUCCUCAACCCAACCAACCUCAUUUUGUGGGGUCCUUCCCUUCUUUUAUUUGAAGGCCACACUGUCCUUGUUUUUCAAUAAGAUAAAGAAGAACAAACAAGGGGAUGGAAUCUUGAACUGUAAAUAACAAUCAGAAAACACAAACACCUAAACAGUGGCAUUUAAAGACAGUUAACAGUGCUUUGGAACCUCUAAGUGGGGCUCAUAUGACACAAGGGCCUCUUGGCAAGCUAAGAUUCCAAAGUUGGAAAAAAUUUCCACAUUCCCUUCCAAGUCCAGGACUGUUUCUAGGUUGUCGGGUUCUGUAAUUUUUCAUCCAGAACUCCAAGCAGUAGUUUGAUAAAGUAGAUGAAACAGAGUGUUAAUUAGAAAAAACACUUAGAACAUUAUAUUCUUUUUCCCUUUGGUUUGAAUAUUGAGAAGAAUCAGAACCCUCAAAUUAGAAAAAUUUUGUAUAUAUUCCCUUCUACAAGGAUCCUUUAGACUUCCCAUUACUUGAUGUGAAACCUCAAGGAUUUUUAAUUAAUUUAAUCAUCCACGACAAUAUUAAACAACAACAAAAAAGGCAGGGGCCUGAUCCUCUGUUUUCUGGAAGCACUUUGCUUGCUUUCAACAACUAUUAUCAAUACAAUUUCCGCUUCAAAAACUAAAAUAAGUAUUUGGAACUCACAUUGAGCUGACUGGUAAUGGAGUCUUGCUGGUUCGUCGGAGUCAGUAUCGGCCACCCACUCGCCGACUUCGCCCCCAACUUAGCAAAAGCAUUGUGAGUCGUCAACCACGAAUACCUAUUAAAAGGCAGACCCUUUACCUGAUCGAUCACAGAAGAUUCAAAAUCAUGUCAAACAAACACAGAAUUAAUGAAACAAAAAAAAAAAAACCGAAGAAAAAACAAGCGUACGGACCUUUGAAGUAGGGUUCACAGGCCUUGUACGCGUGCAUCUGGGCCGAACGUUUCCGUUCGCGAGGCACGUUUCGCAGUGCAAACCUGAGUCGCAGUUUCCAUCCGACACGCAUGUCUGUCCCAGCUGAAAAAAGGUAAAUGACACUCUGUUUGGUUACCAGGAAAAUGUGCAGGAGAAAGAGCAAAAAAGCAUAAGAUUUCAAACUUCCUUUUCUUUCUCACUUGGAUCCGAAAAGGGUUUUGUGGGUUUGUUUUCCUUUUGAAAAUAAGAGCUGAAAAUGUGAGACGUACCUUGAGAGCAAAAGCAGAGUCCAAGAGAAAAGCUGCAAUGAACAGCGUUGAAAUGAAACCCAUCCUCUGCAAUCAAAAUAUACACUUUUAGGACUCUCAACUGAUAUACAAGCGACUGUAUAUUGAGAAAUGAAGAUGAAAUACCUCCACCAAUGGCUUAGGGGAGAAGAAGAAAGAAAGAUUUUUCUCUCUCUAGAAAAUGUGUACGUGAGGGGUGAGGGGUUGUGUCAGCAAUGGAAGCUCCACAGAACAUGGUUUCUGUUUUGCAUUUUAAAAUUAUAAAAUUUUAAUCAUUAUAAAUGAUUAUCUUUUUUAAUAGAUAAAACCAGUUUUUUAGAUAUUUUGCCGAAAUUAAAUCUAAUUACUAACAAAUAAAACCAAAUUUAUAUUUUGUAUGUUGGCGUAUUUAUGUUUCUUAUGGUGCCUUUGAAGUUGAGACAGAUGAACUGCAAAAACUUUGCAGGACUUUUAUUAAAGGCUGGUUCUGUUCACACUCAGAGAGAGAGAGAGAGCAGCCAUGAGCUGCGGAUGGUACCUACUCCAUUGACUCUCUCACUUGUGAAUAAUUAAUCUGGGAUUUAAAAUUAAAGUGGGGAGUUUUGAUUAGUGGUGCAUGAUCAAGUUUGUCUCAUGAUCAAUUUAGUUCCUUUUUUUUUCCCCCUUAAUUUAACAAAAGGAAAAGGUGGUUAUGGCUUUUUCUUAUGGGCUUGAUGGAAGGUAUAUUAUUUUCUGUUUUUUUUUCUUAAGAAUAGAAAAUAGAUGGUGUUUUUAGUUUUUCUUUAAUAGCGUGUUUGAUAGUGAUUAUAGGAAGUGUUUCCGACAUUCUUAAUACUUGAAAAAUGAAAAUUUUUAAGUGUUACAAACGUUAAAAACACUUCUUAAAAUCAUUAUCAAAAGCACUCUAAAUCUGUUUUAAAAAAUAAUUACAAAAAUUAUAUAAUGAUUAUAAAUAAAACUAUAAAUAUUAAAAAUAGGUUAAAAACAUUUUAGGUUCUCAACUAUAUUUUUAUUCUAUAAAAUAUCAAAAAACAGUUUUUAAAAAUUAUUUUUAUAAUUAUUUUAAAAAAUGUUACCAAAUAGGACCUUAGUAACUAUCCUUACAAAUAAUUUUUUACUUGCAUUUGUUUCAAAAAUAUAAUAUUUAGGAGAGUAUGGUAGUGUUUGUCUUUUGACUGAAUGUAAUUUUUUUUUUUUUAUUAAGUUAAAAGUAAUUUGCUGAUAUCAAUAUAUUAUUUUAUUUUUUUUUAUUUAAUUAAAAAACCAAAUACCACCUAAAUCUUAAUAUUUUGAAUAAGGUGGAGAACUUUGUAAUAAUAACAUUUGCAAAGCAAAUUGUGCUCUAACCAUAUUUGUCAAACUCACCUAUCAAAAGUCUUUAGCAUUCCUUUUUUAGCUUUGUAAGUGGUAAGUGUGAAUUAUGGUUGAAGGAUGUCAAUCACUUCUAGCCUCAUUAACUUUCUCCAAGUUGGCACGCGGUUUUAGCUUUGGCUCCCCUGAAAAGUAAGAACUGUUGGGGAAGGAAAAGUUGAGACUUUAAGCACCAACGACAAGCAAAGACAAAGGGAAGUGAAAAGUUAGAGAGAACAACUUUUAUUCUUAAAGGCAGCUUGGGUUAAGCUUUCUUGGAGAACUGAAUGUCACCUUCAAGUGAAAUUGCUUAAACAAGAAACCAUUCUCAAUGUACCACUCCACCAAAAUGCCUCUUCAAACACUACACUACACUUUUCCUUUGAAGCUAUCUCCUCCUUCCUUCCUUCCAAGCUAGACCAAAAAAUGUCUUCUCUAAGCAUGCAUGAGACUAACUUGUCCACUCUCUCAAAUCCAUUUCCAAAUGAUGAGUAAGAAAGAGAUUUUCUAUUACAAUAUAUUUUUUUUUAUGAAAGGAAUAAUAUAUGAAUAUUUUCUAAGUUUAUACGUGAUUAUAAGAAGAAAAAAAAAACAUAAGAUAAAAUAGAAUGUGUCAGACUCAAUAAUUACAUUUAUUUAUAUUGUUUAUGAUAUUUUUUUUGUGUAAAAUGUUUUUUUUUUUAAUUUGUGGAGGUAUACAUGAUUGAUUAUCUGAAUCACGUGAAAAAUUUGUAUACCUUUCUAAAUAGAUGACUUUAUUUUUGUAUUUUUUUAUUAGCAAUUUGCAUUUACAUUUGGAUUGGCACAACAUGUAUGAGUGUGUAUGAAUAGGAGGUGGACUAUUGGGAAGAAAAGAUCAAAACUCAUUUUCUCAUCCCCAUGUGGAAUGUUUGAGUGGAGUCCAUACCAUACCAAACUUUGAUUGACCCUUGUUCUCACAAAAAGUUCUUUACCGGAAUAAAAUUAUUUAAAAAUGAAAACCCCACUAACAUAAUUUCCAAUCUAAUUUGUUCAUUCAUCCGGAUCCAUGUGGAUAGAACCUUAAAAGAGGGAGAAAAUUCAAAAACUAAUAGCUCUUGACUAUGCCUCUAAGUGAAAACCUAAAAACUGCAACCAUAUAUGCUUUCUUAAUUGAUAGAAAAAAUAUAGCUUAUUGUUUUCUUUCUAAUACUAUGUAAUUGAAUUUUUUUUAUAUUUCCUUAUCUAUAUUUCAAAAAAAAAAAUUAUUUCUUUUUUUUUCUUUAUCUAUUUUUUUUUAAAAAAAAAAGUAUUUCAUUAUCCAUAUUUUUAUUAAAUGUGAAUAUAUAUAUAUAAAGGGAGAAAGAAAAGACAAUAAUAAUAUUUCACUGCAUUUUUAUUUCUUUAAAAUGAUAAUAAUAAUAAUAAUAAUAUACUCUAACCCACCUAUAUGUGGCAACUAUAUAGGAGUUAUUUUUCAUUCAACAAUAAUUUUAUUUAUUUAUUUAUUUUUUAAAUUAUAUAUAAUGGGCCAAAAUCUUCACACACUUUGGGUCUGAUUGGUAACUGUUUUUUGAAACAGUUCUAAAAACAGUUUUUAAAAACCCUUCAUUGAUAUUUUGUCAAAAUAAAAGUUCAUUUGAAACCUAAAAUGUUUUUAAUUUAUUUUUAAUAUUUUUAAAUAUGUUUUAAAAAUAAUAUUUUUAUUUUUAAUCAUUUUUCAUAUUUUUAUAAUUAUAUUUUAAAAUAACCAUUAAAAAAAUAAGUAAAAACAAUAUAAAACAACUAAAUUAUGCUAUAUUUUCUAUUUUUAUGAAUAAAAAACAAAAAAUAGUUUUUGAUUAUUAACGUAUUUCCUUGAUUUUGUUUUGAAAAAUAUAAAAUUAUUCUCGAAAAUAGUUAUCAAACAAACUCAAAUUUAUUUUUAGACCAUUACAAGUGGACAUGGAACUGAGAAUUACGAAGAAGCCUACAAUCGUUCCAUUUUAGGCUUGCAUAAGCCAUGGGAUGGCUUAAAAAUCCAAAAAAAAAUUAAAACCACGGAAAAAAUUCACAUAUAGUUUAAUUAAUUAAUUUCUUUAUUUUGGUUUUAAUUUGCAUUAUAAAAAAUUCAUAGUACUUUUAUUACAAGGUUAUGUUUGAUAAAGUUGACAUUCACAUGUUUUUAAUAAGAAAAUUUAUAAUUGAAUUAUUAUUUUUAUUACAUGCUUCAAUGUGAUUAAUUUGUAUCGAAUACAAUUUUUUUUUGUCUCCAAUUACUAUCCAUAAGAAACAAACAUAGAAGCCAUUGCAAAAAUAAUAUUUUUCUCUUUUAAUUUUCUUAGGUUAUAUUUAAUUCCCCAAAAAUAUUUUUUUUUUUUGAUUAUAUUCUAAAACAUAUCAAAGAAAAUAAAAUAUAAUUAAAAUCAAUUACAAAUUUACAUAUUUUUAAAAUUAUCUAAUAUUUACAUAAAAAAGUUAAAAUAAAUAAAAUAGUUCUAUAUAUAUAUAAUUUAUUAAUCUUAAGUUUUUUUUUUCUUUUAUUUUUUGGGUUUAUAAAUUAAAAAUGGUAAUACUGAAGACAAUGAGAAGAUAUUUUUUUUUUUUUUUUAAUUAUAAUCAUACUUGAGGAAAGUGGUGGAAAGUGUGGAUUUCAACCCAUAAUUUCUUCUUACCAAUGAGAGUCAAAUUUCAAUUCAUAUCAAUUUGGACAACUUUAAGUUAAUCACUCACAUGAAACACUAGCAAAAUCCACCGUAUGUCCACCACACACACAAUCAUAAAGAAGAAGAGUAAACCAACUUUUGUCUGAAUAAACGAUACCCCCAGAAGAGACUAAAAGCUCAUUUCAUCGAAGCCCAUAAAGCAACAAACUUAAUUGAUUAAGUUGACUGUUCACAAAAUAAUCAAAUAAAACAAGACUCACGAACUGAGAGAGGAAUACGAGCAAUGGGCAGGAUCACAAGAAGGGAAAUGAUAGAGAAAUGAUACCAGAAAUUUUCCGGGCCUCCAGACAUGGGCACUGCCGUUUUCAUACUCUAUUUCCUCGGACAGGAAAGCGCAUGUGACGGAGCUAAUACACAGCAACUGGAUCAUUAUCAACGGCUUUUGAGGCAUGCAAAAAAUUAGAGUGUGUUUGACAGUAAUUUUAAGAAACAUUUCUAAAACAUGAUUGAUAAAAAUUUUCAACUGUUAUAAAGAUUAAAAACGUUUCUUAAAAUUACUAUCAAAUGGAUUCUUAGUAACUCAAAGGACAUGUAGAGAUGACAAUCCUGGGUUCUGGGCUAGUCACCCAUGUUUAAUUAUCUCAUUUAUUUAUAUCUAUUUUUAUUAUUUUUCAAAAAUUUUAAAUAAUUUUAUAAAAAAAUUUAAAUUUAUUUUUAUAAAAAAAAUUAAAUAUAUUUUAUUCUCUUUAACCUUUACCCUAUUUUAUACUCCUAAAAUUUGUUAAAAUAAGAUAUUUUACCUCAUAAAUUUAUUAAAAAAAUCAAUGAAUAAUUUGUUAAAUAAAGAAACAAUGUUAAGAUAUAAAGAAAAACGCUUGAAAUGUGAUAAUAAAAAAAAUCUAUUACCUAAGUUCAAAACCGUUCUAUUUCAUAUCUGUAUGAAAAAAUCAUGAAUAAUCAUAUAAAUAUAUAUUUUAAAUAAAAAUUUAAAUUGAUAAUUAUUAUAUUUUAAAGAUAUUUAAAAAAACUUACUUUAAGACUGUUAAUUCAAAAUUGGUUUUAUCUAAUUUCAUCUUAGUGUUCAAGUCAAAGUAUAAAAAAGAUCAAUUCUUUUCAUAAUUUUAUGAAAGGGUUUGCAACUAGUGAUAAAACAUUGAUAUUAAAAUGUUAGAUUUUUAAUAUGAAAUGGUAAACCGUAAAACACGUCAAAAUUUAAAAGAGUGAAGUGUAUUUAACAAAAAAAAAAAAAAAAAAAAAAUCUAUUAAAAAUUACUUCUUCGGUAAAACUUUGUUCUCGACAUCAUUGUAGCCAUGAUAAUAAUGCUCAUAAUAAAAAUAAUAAUAAAUAAAUAAAAAGUUAAGAGAAACAUGGCAAAUUUGUUGUCAUUCAAAGAUAUGGACCGUCAAUGCAUUGGUGUAAAGGUUAUUAUACAAAGAAUAUAAUUAAAAUUAAAUUCUUAUUAGGUGGGUGAGGGUGGUGGGUAGGGGGCAGCAGCGCCCAAAACAAAAGGCAAAUCAAAGUAUACACAUGCUGGCUUAGGCACGGGGGCACUUCUUGGAAGUUAGUGAUUUCUGUUUUUCCCUCCAUAAAUGAGCCUUUCAAUUCCCCUUCAAUUGUCACAAGAGGAGGUGAAAAUUAAAAUCCUUAGGCCAAAAUAUACUCACAUUUUUAGAUGGAUUUAUAGUCUAAAACGUCACCCUUUUGGUCUAAAUUUUUUUAAAUGGGCUAUUUGGAUACAUGGGUUAAGUUUAGUUGGUCGGGUUGAUCAUGUUAUAUGAUUUAAAAUUCAUCCAUGUUUUUUUAAAACUUAGAUAAAAUUUGAAGGUAAAACAACAAUAUGAAAAUAAAUUUAUAUAUUUUUCUUAAAAACCAAAAAUAUAUAUGGUAUAGUUGUAAUUUGAUUUUUUUUUAUUAAAAAUUCUAGAAAAAUAAAUAUUAUCAUAUAAGAUGAUAUAUGUUAUAAUUAUUGUAAAAAUAUUAAAUUGAAUUUAGCUUAUAUUCGGAUUAUUCUAAAUUUGAUCGUGUGAAUCGAAUCCAAAUUGAGUUUGAAUUGAAAAUCAUAACUUAAAUUCAUUUCAAAUGUUAAAAAUAACCAUUCAAAUCUUUUUCGAUACUAAGUUGGGAUCGAGUUAGAUAAGGUAAACAUGUCUAAGUUGAACCCAUCGAUUUAGAUAUAGGUGUCUAAUCUUGAACUAUAAAAUAAUUUGAAUUAAAAAAAAAUAAGGUGUAAAAAUGGCAAGAAUUCAUUAAAUUAAUAUUUAAGAAGGUGGAUUUGACGUGAAUAUGUAAAAUAAUUUCCAAAUUUUCUUAAUUGGAAAGCUUAAAGGAGGAUGAUAUAAUAGUUGAUGUUAAUAUUGGAGGAGAAUCUCACUGCAACCGAGUGUAGAUCACUCUGAAAUGCAACCCACAUCUGCACCGUCCAAUUAAAUUUGACUAAAAGAAAUCAUAUGGUUUUGACAAGUCGAGGGUGGGGCCCUGAAAUCAGUGAAAAAGACGCAUUCACACCCUGCCUAGGAGUCCUCCAUCUUAACCAGAUGUGCUAAGUGCUAACUGCUAAUGUACGCAGGUGGUGUUGCUCUCCACUUUCCACUCUCCAUUCUUCCCAAUGGCGGUGUACGGAGCUGCCGCCGUUCUGGGAUCACUGGUUUUUCUUGGAAUGCAGCUUCCACUAGUGAUGGGAGGUGAGGUUUCUCUGCAUUUCUCAUGGACUCUGUCCUUUCUUUGUGAUCUCUCUUAGCUUUACUUUUCCCUUCUCGGUCUUGCAAUUUGUGUGAAGUUACAGUACUGAAGCCACGUAUGGAACUUGCUUUUGUUGAUCAUCUUCUUGGUGGGUAAUGUCGGAUUUUGAAACCCAUUUCAGUAUUUUAUCUGUGGGGCUUGUGGGGAGUGUUUUGGGUAGAAAUGGGUUUGAUUCUUUGAGCUGUUGUUUUGUUUCAUUUUCUUUCUUGUUCUGUCCUUCAUUUUUAUGGGCAUGUGUGUUUUAUGGGUUUUGGGGGUGGUGAAUUUGGUACUAGGUGUUGUGUGGCUCUUUUGUAUCCUUGUAUUGAACUCACUGUCCGAAUAGUUUUUCUAUUUUUGGUUUUGGCUUGAGGAGAAGCAUUUUAGUAAAAUCUUUCUUCGACAAAUUUGGGUUUGUGCGAGGAAUCUAGGCUCAGUUAGUCUGUCUGCAACUGGGUUUUUAUGGGUUGAGUGGUAUGUUUGUGUUUUGGUGAUCUCUGUGGAGGACAAUUUUUCUUUACUUCGCUGAUUAUUUUGAUUCAGCCCUAUCAUUCAAUGCAUGAACCAGAAAUCACAGAAACAAGGCUUUUGGCAAAAGUAUAUUAGAAAAAUUUUCCCAUGAGUUUAGACAAUGCUAUGUUCUUCUUAUUCUUUUGACUUUGACAUGAUUCUAUAUUUUCCUUUAUGAGUGGAAAUGACCCAAAUGCAGUUGUUCCAGGUAAUAUAUGUUUAAAGAGGAAAAAAGGGUAUAUCAGAAGUGAUGUUUGCUUGUCCUACUUGUGCAGAUUGCCCUUUGGAUUUGAGUGGGUCAAAUUUUACUCUGGUGGCCUCUGUAUGCGCUAAUAAAGUUGAUAGAGGAAAGUGCUGUCGCUAUAUUAAUGCCUUUAUUGCAAUUUCUGUUGCUCGUUAUGCAAAUAAAACUAGUACCUUGGGGGUUGCUUCAAAUUUAUCUGAUAUUUGCCUUCAUUCAAUAUCGGAGACCUUAGAACUAUAUGGAGUUCCACCAAAUGCAACAGUUUUCUGCGGGUUUGGGACGAAGAUUCCUGUUAAUUAUGAUUGUAAGGGUCGAACAACUGUGGUGCAGAUGCUGGAGUCCCCAAGAUUUUCCGAUGUCGCAGAUAAUUGCAAAGUGCCCCUUUCAGAGGAAAGCAAAUGCAAAAAAUGUUUAAAUGCAGGAAUUAGCUAUCUUCAUCGCCUGCUAGGAGCAGAAAACAAUAUGACACUGAGUACAUGCAGGGAUGCAACUUUUGCUGCACUUGCAAGCCAAGUUGACAACACAUCAGCUGUUGAUAUUGCAAGCUGUUUCUUUGGCAUUCAAGGGCUGAGUAUUUCUCCAGGUAUGAUUGGAUCGAAGAAAAUGGGGUUUUAACCUGUAUUAGACAUAAUAUAAAUCAGGCUCUUUCUGUUAGAUGUGUUGUCAUGAGUCAAAAUUUUAUUCUUGUUCUGGAUUUCCAUCUCUAAUUGGUACUUCUUUUUUACUUUAUCAUUGGAUUUUGUGUGUCUGUUCAUGGAAUUGCAACCAAAUUCUAAAAUGUAUAGGGGUCUCUACCAUUUGUAUAUAUAAUUUUGUUGUCUUUCUAUUGUAGUUUUUACUCAUGACUUUACGGGUGUUAAGGAAUGUUGUCUAUAGAAAAAAAAGGUGUUAAGAAAUAUGUUGAAGAGUGUCUGGUAUAUGUUACUUUUUGCUAAUAAAUAUUUUAUAGAACGUAUUAUGUAUGGGUAUUUCCUUGUGAAAAUAGGUUUCCUUAUAGGAUAGGGAAAGGUGUUAGAAAUAUCUUCAUGACAUUGAGAUAAAUAUGUAAAGUCUGUAAAAAUAUGAGGGAGAGCAAAAGACACCCAAUGGAGCAAGGCUUGGCUUCAGGGAUGUAGAUUCAUGGAAUUGUUUUGGGGUUGGAAGUUAUAUAUGUUUCCUUUUGCUCUGUAAGUUACCUAUAGUAUGCUGGAUUGGUUCUCUCACGUACUUGAAUAUACUCAUGUAAGUAUAGUUGAUUGAAUCACAUUAAAACAUGUCUAUUUAUGUGUGGUUUCACUUUAUUUUACACAUUACUCCAAUACACGCUAUCCAACCUCUCAUUGUCACAACAAAAUGUUUGUGCCAUGGCAAAAGAAGUGGUCAGUAUAUGCACUGGAGUAUUAAUUUGCAGUUCUAAUCAUGAUGAGAUGAGGGCAAUGUUCUCGGAGGAACUUGAUGUAGUUAACUGGUUGUUUGCUUUUCCAUAACAAUUUUAUAUGAAGGAAGGUAGGGACUUUGUCACCCAAUGGUGUCACUAAUUUGAUCAGUUAACAAUGGGGAGGAUAUCUAUGAAGAUUCAUCAAUUUCUCACUUUGUUGUACAUUAAGUGGAACUGGUUUCACAUUUUGAGUGUGGAGAUACUAACAGGUUGGGAAACAUUUCUGAGCUAUGAUAGUCAAGUUGCUCUAUCUAGUUCGACUUGCAGCUAUCUUCCAGUUCUUUUUAAGUGUCAUAGUUGAUUACUUCCUCAUUUGGAAGUGUGGUUUAAGAGUCUUUUACAGGUUUGGUUGAGGAAUGAUGGGGCUUCUCUAGCAACUAUAUAGAAUGAAAAAUGAAGCCUGGACACUAGCUUUUCUGGUCUCAAAGAAGCAGGCACAUGGCCUCAAUAAAGUUCCAGAAAGGUCUUACUCCAGUAAAAUUUGGUUAAGACAAUUUACAAAUGAGGAGAGUUGCAGGGCUCAAACAGGUUUGCUGACUAAAGGAGAAUGUGAGCUCUGUUCUUCAGAAGGGUAAAUUUGACUUGGCUUCAGGGGAGAGCAAAAUUGAGGUGAAGUUUGGUGCUUUUAUCAGUAACUUUUAUAGUUGUUUCAACCAGAUUCUCUGGUCUAUUGGAUUGUUGGGGAUCCCAUAUAAGAUUUUGGCUAAGGAUUUUUCUUCCUAGCUCUGGAUUAGUAUUGUAUCAUCCUUUCUCAGAAGGCCUUUCUAAGAAGAUGUCUAUGUGACAUUUUUGUUGUUAAUUCAUCUGGCCAUUCUAGAUGAAGAUCAGGUUUCUAGGUGUUCUCACAAUCUUUACAUUGAGACUGAGGAACUAAAUGGUGUUUCAAUACAGAAAGAGAUUAGAGCUCUUUCUUGGUGGCAUGCUGCAGAUGGACAUUUGCUUGUUCAUUUUAGCUGUAGAAAGUAUAUGGUAGAUGCUUUCCAAAGCUUUAAAGGGGAGUUUCUUUAAGAGUGUAGUAAGACAAAAGGCCAAUUUUUCCUCAGUUUAAUUUUCUAUUGACAAUAUUAUUCUCUUCUGCCAGGAUGUCUAGUUAGUAAUUUAGAUAUACCAUUUUUGUGUCACUACGUUUAGCAAUUGUAUCCAACUAAAAAUGAACCUUCUCUAAAAGGAACCAUGGUGUUCUAAAAUGUUUGGUUUUUUCUGUCCUCGAUUUGGAUUAUAGUGCAGAUUAUUUUCCAGACGGCUUACAUCUACAAUCCAGUAAGAGGAGGGUUUUCUUGUUUUUUUGCUUCGGAGCACACUGUAUACUCACUGUGUACUUUGUGUAGCUUUUUUGGCUCUUUAAUACAUUGCUCUUUUUCCUAUCAAAAAAAGAAAAAGAAAAAAAAAAGACAGCCUACAUCUACAUUCACCUCAUACAUGAUUCUGACACAGUUGACUGGAAACAUGUGAGUUGGUAGAGUUGAAAGGGGGCGGAUUUUGCAAUAAGUGUAUUAAUUAAUCUUUCCAACAGUACCUCAUUUUGUUUUGUCCUUGAUUUAGACUUAUCAGGGGGCAUCGAUUAAUCUUUCUACUUAUUUGCUUGAUUUCCUGUAAGGGUUUCCAAGAAGCUGCAGAAGCUAUCAAGGAAAUUCCCCAGAAAAUGUGUAAUUUAAUUCAACCAACUAAUGUUUCAAGAUAAACCAAUUUGAAAACUAAAUUUCAGUUCUAUAAAAAACCAAUUAUCAAGUUCUUGUUACAUUCCUUCUUGGGAUUAGCAUGGGAUAUAUGUUAGGAUAUUGGUAGUUGUUAUUGUGUUACACUGUGUAUCAGUUUAGUCUGUAAUGUACUUUACAUCAUGUAAUAUUGGGUUUUGAUGAUAUAUGGUUAUCUAAUUUUGUGUUUUUUCAUCCAACCAUUUAUCUACUAUUUUGCUGAAUUUUUAAUGCUAGUUUCAGAACCACCACCACCUGUGCACACUCCUGAGGUGUCUCCUAGUCCAUUGGUUGCUGCCAGCCCUAGCCAGGUUGUCUCCACCGUAACCCGUGAUGAAAAUCACCAUCCCUACCACCUCACGUUAAUUCCAGGUGUUGGCAUUGCAGUCACUGCCGUUGCUGUUAUAAUGCUGGUAGUCUUGAUAAUUCUCAUACGUAAGAAAAACAGAGAGCUAGAGAAUUUUGAGAAUACUGGCAAGACUUCUUCAAAAGACUUCCCCCCUCCUCCUCGGCCUAUAAGAAAACUUCAAGAAGGUCCCUUUUUUUUUGGUUUAAUGCUUUCUCAGUUAUGGCAUACAUACUUACACUAAAUUCCUUUUCUUUUGGGGUGGGGGUGGGCGGAACUGAAACUGCAUACAGGUUCUUCAUCUAUGUUUCAGAAGUAUAGCUACAAGGAGACAAAGAAGGCAACUAACAAUUUCAACACUAUCGUUGGACAAGGAGGAUUUGGAACUGUGUACAAAGCUCAGUUUAGGGAUGGUUCAGUGGCAGCAGUUAAGCGAAUGAACAAAGUUUCGGAGCAGGGGGAGGAUGAAUUCUGCCAAGAGAUAGAGCUUCUUGCCAGACUGCAUCAUCGUCAUCUUGUUGCCUUGAGAGGCUUUUGCAUUGAAAAACAUAAUAGGUAUUCUCUCUCUCUCUCUCUCUCUCUCUCUCUCUCUCUAUCUAUCUAUCUAUCUAUAAAUUACUCUUUAAUAUCUCUGUGUAAUCGAACAAUUGUGCAUGUUGAAUGGCAGGUUUCUCAUGUACGAGUAUAUGGAAAAUGGAAGCUUAAAGGAUCAUCUUCAUUGUAUGCUUUUUCCUCUUCUUCUUUAUCUUCUUAUUCCUCCUCUUCUUCUUUUUCUUUUUCUUAUUCUUUUGUUGGCUUCUUCAUCUUCUUUUGUUGGUUUUGAAUGUGCUCUGUUGGAGGUUACUCUUAGUGCAGGGGUGUGUGUGUGGGGUCAGGUGUGAUGCGGAUGUUGUAAGCCACAUGGAGUGUGUGUGUGGGGUCAGGUGUAAUCCUUCUUUUUCUUUUGUUGGUUUUGAGUGUAAUCUGUUGGAGUUUAAUCUUCUUGCAGGAGUGUGUUCUUCUUUUGCUGGUUUUGAGUGUUUUCUGUUGGAGGUUAAUCAUAGUGCAGGAGCGUGUGUGUGGGGUCAGGCGCUUCUUCUUUUGUUGGUUUUGAGUGUGCUCUGUUGGAGGUUAAUCAUAGUGCAGGAGUGUGUGUGUGGGGUCAGGUGUGAUGGGGAUGUUGUAAGCUACAUCAUGGAAGUGGAAUAAUUCUAUUUUGUUUUUCAUAUCAUUCUUAUCUUGUUUUUGGUAAGAAAUGAAAUGAGUCUCUCUUGGGUGAUGACUCCAUUUUAAUUGAUGCUACAUAACAUAAAAUAAUGGACUAUCCAUAUUUGCUCAUUCUGUACUUGGAUUAAGCCUGGUCUUUUACUUUGUCCAGCUCCAGGUAGAACUCCACUAAGUUGGCAGACAAGAAUCCAAAUUGCAAUUGACGUGGCAAAUGCUCUGGUAAUCUGUUGAGAUCAUGCUCAAAGUUUCAAAAACUUUCAAUGGCUUAGAUGCAGAACCUCCAAUAUUAUCGUCAUACCAUUAUCUUGUGAAAUUACUUUACCUUCCUCAUUUGAUUUUCUAACAUACAGGAGUAUCUCCAUUUCUAUUGUGAUCCUCCACUUUGCCACAGAGACAUCAAGUCCAGCAACAUCUUACUAGAUGAGAAUUUUGUCGCCAAGGUAGUUUUUCCACUUGUAUAUGUAUCUUUUUAUGGAUAUAACUCAACUUUGCUAUGUUUAAAUCAAAUGACAUGGAGGAAGAUAACACAUUUUAUGUUAGCCCCGUUUUCAAUGAUUCCCUUUUUCUUGAAAAUGCAUAUUGAGUACUCACUUGAAUGCUCUAAAAUGACACUCUUUUACUCUUGUUCCCCGUCUCUCCCAAAUUAAUUAAAUCCAGGUUGCAGAUUUUGGUCUUGCACAUGCUUCAAAAGAUGGUUCCAUUUGCUUUGAACCGGUAAACACUGAUGUUCGGGGUACUCCAGGUUAGGUUUGUGAAUGGUUUGAACAUGAAUUCCCUCUUCUUUUAGAAGGACCUAAUUUUUAUAUGGCUUUCAGGUUAUAUGGAUCCUGAAUAUGUGAUCACUCAAGAGCUCACCGAGAAAAGUGAUGUGUACAGUUAUGGUGUGGUACUAUUGGAGCUUGUGACUGCAAGACGAGCGAUACAAGACAACAAGAAUUUGGUAGAAUGGUCCCAAAUAUUCAUGGCAUCAGAAUCAAGACUAGCCGAACUAGUGGACCCCAGUAUUGGGGACUCCUUUGAUUUUGAUCAGCUUCAAACAGUUGUGACGAUUGUGAGAUGGUGCACACAAGGAGAAGCGAGAGCUAGGCCUUCAAUUAAACAAGUCCUAAGGCUUUUGUAUGAGAGUUCAGAUCCAAUGCAUAAUGGGUUUGUGCAAGCUGUGGAAGACGAAGAGUAUGAAGAAACUGAAGAGAGGGGAAGGACAAGCAAAGGAAAAAUGAAUAGGGGUGAUGGGAUUUUUCACAGUGGGGAUGGGCGAUGUCUUGCUUCUUCUUCAAGUACAUCUAGGUCAUAUUGUAGUAGAAGCUUUUUACUUGAAAAUGGCUCUCCACAAUCUCCUUCUGGUAUACUCUCUGUUUGAGGCCAACUUUUCCUCUGCUUCAGGCACUGAUGAUGGACUGAAAACUUUUGAAUGCAGCUCUUGUUUAUGGUAAUGCUUAGGAAGCAUGGAACCACAGUUGCUAUUUGACAGGUAUGCUCACAUGUUUCUUUAAUUUUGAAUGGGUAAAAGAAUUGCUUCUAUAGAGCAUGUCAAAGGAUUUUGAGAGUAUUAUUAGUCCUGGUAAAAGGGAAAAACAGAAACAAAUGAAAAAUUGAAGUAGCCUGUGGCAUUUGUUUUUGGCUCAUAUUGUGUUAAAUUUUGGGAGAAAUGAGGUAUAAAUAUAUUAGAAAUGAUGUAUAAUUUUAUUCUUUUGGCUUGUGUAUUGACAUUAAGCAUUGUGGGAAUGCAACAAUUUCUCAUCAUUGUUAUUGGAACAGUCAAAAUGGAUAAUGCAGUUUGAAUGUUGUAGCAACUAGCAAGUACAAUUUAUCUUGUAAUAUUGAUUGUGUUUGGUGUGGUUGGACUUGCUGCACUUUAUGUAUGGAAAAGAUGAAACCAUUCUACUGUGUAUAGAUCUGUUUUGUUUCUGAAAAGUGUUUUCCUUGACAAUCAUGAUGAGGUCUAUGAUGAGUGUUAGCCAUCAGAUGACAUACUGGGAAAUCAAUUUAUUACCAUACUGGGAUCUUAUGCAGCAAUAGAGAAGGGAUAUUUUUGGCAUGUAUUGGGAUUUUGCAUCCCAUUUGGCACUUGGUGAUGGAAUGUCAUUACUGUUACUAGCCAAUCCUUGAAAUUUGUUGGUAUGUUGCCCAUGGUGGCCUCUUCAUUUUGUACCAAAUACACUGCCUGCCUACUCCUUUACAUUACCAUGCGGAAGAUGUUAAAGGAAACAUAAUUUUCUGCCGCCUUAAUUCAAAUGUCAUCUAAGGGUAUCCAAGUGAUGAAACCGAAGCAGAAAUUUCAAGUAAAUUUAGUAUUCUAGAACCAUUGAUGUUCAAUUUAUUCCUUGUCAUUUCUCCGAUUAUGUUUCACUCGUAUCACUGUGUUUAAGUCCAAAACAAUCCUUUUGAAGAAAAAAAUAGUGAGAAUAGUACUCCUCUCAAAUUAUUUAUCAAAAUAGUUUUUUUUAUCCACGUAAUUAUCCAUGUCUUUUUUUUUUUUUUUUCUGUGCAGAAAACCACAUUAUUAUGGUUUUAAAAGUUUUAGAAAUAUCCUUAAAACCAUAAUAAAAAAUGGUGAUUUUACAAUUUUCUUUAGAACCACAGUUAAUAACUGUGGUUUCAAAAAUAUUUUUAAAUUACACCCCAUUACAAUGGUUAGUAUUAUGAUUUUAAAAUUAUUUUUAAAAUCACAAUUAAUAAUUAUGGUUUUAAAAAUAUUUUGAAAACCACAGUCACUGAUUGUGGUUUUAUAAUUUUCUUUAGAAUCAUAGUUACUAACUAUAGUUUCACAAAUAUCUUUAAAGUACACUCCGUUACAAUUUUCAAUAAUUAGUAUUAUAAUUUUAAAAUCUUUUUUAGAACCAUAAUUAGUAAUUGUGGUUUCAAAAAUAUCCUUUAAAUUGCAUUUGUUACAAUUUUUCAUAGUUGCAUUGUUAGUUUAAAAAUAUUUUUGAAACCACAGUUAUUAACUAUGGUUUUAUGGUUGUUAUGAUAAAAAAGAUUUUAAAAAUAAUUUUAAACUCACAAUACUAACUAUUAAAAGUUGAAACGAGUUAUGGUUUAAAAAUAUUUUUGAAACUAUAGUUAGUAAUUAUGGUUUUAAAGAAAAUUGUAGAACUUUAUGAUUAUGAUUUUAAGGAUAUUUAUGAAACUUUUAAAACCACAAUCAUCAAUUAUGGUAUUUUAUACUAAAAAAAAUAAAAGGAAAAAAUCCAAGUGGAUGAAUACGUGGUAAAAAAAAAAAGACUACUUUGAUAAAUAUUUUGGGUGGGACACUAUUCUCACUAUUUUUUUUUCAAAAGUAUUAUUUUGGACUUAAAACUCCAUAUUACCGUAAAAGGACAUAAAUCAAGAGACUAUUGAGAAUUAGAUUUGUGGACGUUUUAUACAUAUAAUACAAAACAUACUUGAGGGGAACUUUGGAAGAGGAGGCUGCAGGCUUUGCAUGUAGGCCAUGACUUAGUGUUGAUGUGCCCUGCUCCAAAGCUGAGCAGUCCCUGCCACUACAGUGUCCAUAUCAGUGAUUGGUACCAUACUAUCAUGGAGGUGGUAUGGUGUGGCCAUCAUUUGCCAACAAAUGGAGCCUCACUCCAAUCAGGGUAAGCAGCUACCCCAACUGCAAGACUCUGAGUGCCAACUGCCAACUCAUUGAACAUGUAGUUACCUCCUAUCCAUGUUAUUCUGUUGGGUGCCCCGGUAGCCAAAAAAACCACUCCAGAAGCCAAUGCACCAGGUUUCAAUAUCAUUAGAGUGCUACGUCCGGGUCCUCAUGACGGGAACCAGGCGCCAUCACAGGGGCUGGUUACGUAGGGCUUAGUAUCAAAUAGAAUUUUCUGAUUUGAUUAUGUAGUUCUUCAACAAUUUGGGGCUUACAUAGACAAAUGGUAUGUUGAAUGCACAGGGCAGUAGGCUCCUGCAGCUCCUACUCUACCCACUUCACCCUGCCGUUCAUUUCCUCCUGAUCCAGGAAAAUCGCAUAACACAAUCUUGACUUCAACAUCGGUGGGAUCCAUGGCACAUUGUUAAGAGGUUCUUCUAUUCCCAUGGCCAAAGUAGAGAGGGACUUUGGAGAUCGACAGGUUUCCUGAAUUAACAGAUUUUUCUCCGAUGGUUAAGAUGCCAUUACCCUAGCCUUGUCUAUGAUAUAGAAGCCGAGCAUACAUCUAUUUUUUGCUUGGGAUUGAUGAACUAUACAACAAAACGGUUCAGGCUUUAUAAGGACGUCAGGUUUCCCCUGCAAACCACCCAGUCUGGACCUUAACUAUCCUCCAUUGACAUUAAUCUUGAAGAAGACUAAAAAAGGUAGCCACAUCUUCAAGAGGGUGUUGACUCAUCAUCCACCCAAGAGCAAUGCCCUUUGCGGAAAAAAAAUUGUCAUGGAGGUUGUAUAUCAAUUCUUGCAGUCAGUAAAUUCCCACUAUAGGUAUUUCUAUAUGAUGUUAAAGAGGAGAAAAGAAAAGAGAAACUGUUUUGCAGUAAAUAAAAAUCCCUGAACAAUUUAUGAACGACAAAUACAUACUGGAAAUCAGUGCUUCCCAAUCACGUCCAGGGGUUGCUCCAGCUAGGGUACAAGGCAAAGGAUACAGCUCACACGGUCAUGAAAUAGACCAAAUGACUUAUAACUAACUUAGACCAAAUAGCAUACUAACCAAUGCUGAUUAGUUGCUUCUUGUUUUAUGUUCGACUUAUUUAA